UUUUAGCUUAUUCUUUCUUUUGAUCAAACAAUGACUUAUGUUAAGCUUGCUAAUUUGGCUGUCUUCAUGCUCACCACAUUCUUAAUCAUCCAGACAGACGAAGAACGUUGAAGCAAGGCAUUGUGCAAGAUAUGGUAUGCCUUGUGCAGUAUUUGAGUCGAAUCCAUGCGGCAAUUCCAUAACGUGUCAGUGUGUCAGUUUGUACAUAUUUGGAAUGUCCUGCAUUGACUAUACGGGUGAUGGCCUCUAACUCUAAUGAAAAAAACUACUUGAAGAUGGCUUUGGAAAUUGCCACUUAAGAAUCAUGCAACUAUAAUAUGUCUGAAAAUAUUUUCGGACACUAUUGAAAAAGACUACUUGAAGACAGCUUUGGAAAUUUCUACUUAAGAAUGAUAUGUCUCAAAAACUAAAAAUCAACCAUGCAUGUUAUCCUCCUUAAAAAAAAAAUAAACCAUGCAUGUUAUCAUGCAUCUACUACUUUAAAUAAAACAACCUUUAUU
rnacentral:lncRNA from 1 species